UACAGGGAACUUGUUACACAGGUGAUGUGGAUGAGCUCAGAAGACAAACAGUGAAGUAGCCUAGGCUGGGAAAGGGCAGGAAUCCUGAGAACCAAGCUGGUUAUUGGAGCCCACUGUGGAAGCAGCCAGGCCUGCUCAGUGGAAGCCGGAGCUGUCGAUGAGCGGCUGCAGCAAAGGAGACACCUCAGGCGGAGAGUAACAGGCCAGGAUCUUCUCAUGACUUUGUUGAGACCCAGAGAACUGAGAAGUUCAGUCCCAGAAUCCAGCCUCCUGCUUUCUAGCUGAUAACCUCAGAUGUGGCAAUUCAGCGAGUGACCCAUUUUCCGCACCUUGUGGAGGCCAUUGCAAUGGGUUUCAUCAACCAGCAGCUUGGAAAUGAGCCAUGGCAUUAGGAGAAGCGUUUCUGGCCAGCGUGGAUGGAUUUCACUGCUGUGCAGCUCAUGCCGGGGCUGGGAAGGGCACAGAGGGAUGCUCUGUGGUAGCAUCCACACUCCAACAAUUGGCCACGGAGACAGGUUUCAGCUUAACUGCAACCUGCUCCAAGAGGCCCUCGCUGACCACCCACUAUAAGACCAGGCCUGCUGUCCCCACUCUAAAUGUCCGUCGGUCACUUCCUUGGUUUGGUUUCUUUCCAGGAUGCACCACUGUCUGUGAUUUUCUUCUUUUGUCUCUGCUUGUUGCUCUUUCUUGUAUGUUGACUUUUGGCUUCUUAGCCAUGAGACAUAGGUCCCCGAGGGCAGGAGCUUGCAGGGUGUGCUUUGGGGAGCAAUGGUGUCUUGCACACGCCCAGCUCACAGCUCAGUUUUGGCAGGAAUCCCUGUGUGCGGGGCCUCCUGAGGCACCGGAAAGGGUCGUGGUGACGAUGAACUGCCCUGUGUUGUGAACGGCGAAAGAGGAUCCUCCCUGCAGAGUCUGUAUGCUUUUUUGAAACUUUUUGGAAAUGCCAGUUACACAGAGUACAAGGUGGAGUACACAGUGCUGUCAGGACACAGAGUACAAGGCUGAGGUAGCCCUAAAAAGGAAGACAAGAAGACACAAACUUUCCAUUUCUCAAUUUACAAAACCAACGAUCUCAUUUACAACGUCAGUGGAAGCGAGUGCUGAUGUGCCAACUGACGGUCAGUCUAUGUGGGGAAGUUAGCGCCUGUCAACUUGCGGGCGUCUUCCAUGCGAAAGAGAGCGCAGACCUUAUUUCCUGUGAGGCUGCAUAAGAACAUUUCUUCCUGACAUAGCCUUUCUUAAAGAAUUCAUAUUUCCUCACUCAUGAG